UUUGCCUGUCUGUCUCUGCCCAUCCGAAAAUUAUGACAAAAUUUGAAUAAUUCUGGCAUUUCCUUCUUUCAGCACAAACAAACAACCUACUCAACAGAUCACAAGAACGAGAUUCAGACCAUUUGAUAAAAUAUCAGAUUCUGGUUUACAAUAUGUCAAACAUUGCUCUGGUAUUUCUGUCUGCCCUGCUCAUUAACUGGGCAUUUCCUCCUUCAACUGCUGUGGGUCGACUAAGAAAAUUCUACAUAAUAAACAGAAAAAUGAUUAGACCAACUGCUGAGAAAGAAUGCAGAAUAAACUACACUGGCCUCGUCACAGUCUAUGACCAACAGGAC